rnacentral:rRNA from 1 species
GAUGAACGCUGGCGGCGUGCUUAACACAUGCAAGUCGAACGAGAAGUGGAGACGGAAACCUUCGGGCGGAAGACUUUAUUUCGAGUGGCGGACGGGUGAGUAACGCGUGGGUAACCUGCCUCAUACAGGGGGAUAACAGUUGGAAACGACUGUUAAUACCGCAUAAGACCACAGCACCGCAUGGUGCGGGGGUAAAAACUCCGGUGGUAUGAGAUGGACCCGCGUUCGAUUAGCCAGUUGGCGGGGUAACGGCCCACCAAAGCGACGAUCGAUAGCCGAUCUGAGAGGAUGACCGGCCACAUUGGGACUGAGACACGGCCCAAACUCCUACGGGAGGCAGCAGUGGGGAAUAUUGCACAAUGGGGGAAACCCUGAUGCAGCGACGCCGCGUGAGUGAAGAAGUAUUUCGGUGUGUAAAGCUCUAUCAGCAGGGAAGAAAAUGACGGUACCUGAGGAAGAAGCCCCGGCUAACUACGUG